rnacentral:misc_RNA from 1 species
CAGAAGUUCAAGACCUUGAUUUCAAGAACUUAAUUUGACCACAAUAUUCAGAGCUUUUUGCUCUGUGACCUAUGGCUGUAAUGAUACACCAAAAUAUGGUUAUAAGAAGCUGCAGAAACUAAAAUCACGAUGCUAACCAGUUAAGAUUGUUUGGCACAAUCAAAACUCAAUUAUAAGAACUCUCCACUAGUGCACUAGUUGUAUUUGAGCCACCGUCCCAUCCCAUUGGUGCCUUCUCUUCUGUAACUGAGAAGCUAUUUGAAGACGAUCUUUGAGCUACAGGAAGUACCAUAGCUGAAGCAUCUGUAUUGCUGUCCUCGUGAGGCAUUCUAUGCACUGCAGUUUGUUGUAGCUGCAAUGCAUAUUCCAAGUCCCAGCACACAUCAAGCAUUGUAGGCCGCUCAGCUCCUUCCAGCUUCAAACACUUCUCAACUAUUUCACCAAACUUUCUCAAUGAAGGGGGGUUAAUAUGACCCACCAGUAAAGGAUCGAUAACUUUUUCGAGUUCCCCUCUCUUUUGCCAAAACAAUCCCCAUUCAGCUAAGUUUAUUUCCUCCCUCUGAGAUGAAUUUACAAUGGGUGGUCGAGCGCAAAGCACUUCCAGAAGUACCACACCGAAAGAGUACGCAUCGGAUUUAUGUGUCAACUGAAGCGUUCUGAAAUAUUCAGGAUCAAGAUAACCAAAACUACCU